CGGAAGCUAAGCCCUCCAGCGCCGAUGGUACUGCACUCGGGAGGGUGUGGGAGAGUAGGACACCGCCGGAC
rnacentral:rRNA from 1 species